AUUGAACGCUGGCGGCAGGCCUAACACAUGCAAGUCGAGCGGAUGAAGGGAGCUUGCUCCUGGAUUCAGCGGCGGACGGGUGAGUAAUGCCUAGGAAUCUGCCUGGUAGUGGGGGAUAACGUCCGGAAACGGGCGCUAAUACCGCAUACGUCCUGAGGGGGAAAGUGGGGGAUCUUCGGACCUCACGCUAUCAGAUGAGCCUAGGUCGGAUUAGCUAGUUGGUGGGGUAAAGGCCUACCAAGGCGACGAUCCGUAACUGGUCUGAGAGGAUGAUCAGUCACACUGGAACUGAGACACGGUCCAGACUCCUACGGGAGGCAGCAGUGGGGAAUAUUGGACAAUGGGCGAAAGCCUGAUCCAGCCAUGCCGCGUGUGUGAAGAAGGUCUUCGGAUUGUAAAGCACUUCAAGUUGGGAGGAAGGGCAGUAAGUUAAUACCUUGCUGUUUUGACGUUACCAACAGAAUAAGCACCGGCUAACUUCGUG
rnacentral:rRNA from 1 species